rnacentral:tRNA from 1 species
UCUGGGUUGGCCGAGUGGAUAAAGCUUUGGAUUAGUUCCAAUGGACAAGUGUCCGCGUGGGUUCGAACCCCUCACCAGAG